rnacentral:tRNA from 1 species
GCCCGUGUGGUGGAAUGCAUACACACUGCGCUUAGAACGCAGCGCCGGAAGGAUUGGGGGUUCAAGUCCCUCCACGGGUACCA